rnacentral:rRNA from 1 species
CUACGGGCCGCUCCAGUGGGGAAUCUUGCACAAUGGAGGAAACUCUGAUGCAGCGAUGCCGCGUGAGUGAAGAAGGCCCUUGGGUUGUAAAGCUCUUUUGUCGGGAAAGAUAAUGACUGUACCCGAAGAAUAAGGUCCGGCUAACUUCGUGCCAGCAGCCGCGGUAAUACGAAGGGACCUAGCGUAAUUCGGAAUUACUGGGCGUAAAGCGCGCGUAGGCGGUUAAGUAAGUUAAUUGUGAAAGCCCAAAGCUCAACUUUGGAAUUGCAAUUAAAACUACUUAGCUAGAGUUUAUCAGAGGAAAGCGGAAUACAUAGUGUAGAGGUGAAAUUCGUAGGUAUUAUGUAGAACACCAGUUGCGAAGGCGGCUUUCUGGGAUAACACUGACGCUGAGGUGCGAAAGUAUGGGUAGCGAAGAGGAUUAGAUACCCCUGUAGUC